rnacentral:rRNA from 1 species
GAUGAACGCUAGCGGCAGGCCUAAUACAUGCAAGUCGAACGAUACUUUCCAGCUUGCUGGAAAGGAAAGUGGCGCACGGGUGCGUAACGCGUAUGCAACCUACCUUAAUCAGGGGGAUAGCCCGAAGAAAUUCGGAUUAACACCGCAUAAAAUCACAGUACAGCAUUGUACAAUGAUCAAAUAUUUAUAGGAUUAAGAUGGGCAUGCGUGACAUUAGCUAGUUGGCGGGGUAACGGCCCACCAAGGCGACGAUGUCUAGGGGAUCUGAGAGGAUGACCCCCCACACUGGUACUGAGACACGGACCAGACUCCUACGGGAGGCAGCAGUAAGGAAUAUUGGUCAAUGGAGGCAACUCUGAACCAGCCAUGCCGCGUGCAGGAAGACAGCCCUCUGGGUCGUAAACUGCUUUUAUUCGGGAAUAAACCUACUUACGUGUAAGUAGCUGAAUGUACCGAAGGAAUAAGGAUCGGCUAACUCCGUGCCAGCAGCCGCUGUAA